GAUGAACGCUGGCGGCGUGCCUAAUACAUGCAAGUCGAGCGAACAGACGAGGAGCUUGCUCCUCUGACGUUAGCGGCGGACGGGUGAGUAACACGUGGAUAACCUACCUAUAAGACUGGGAUAACUUCGGGAAACCGUAGUUAAUACCGGAUAAUAUAUUGAACCGCAUGGUUCAAUAGUGAAAGACGGUUUUGCUGUCACUUAUAGAUGGAUCCGCGCCGCAUUAGCUAGUUGGUAAGGUAACGGCUUACCAAGGCAACGAUGCGUAGCCGACCUGAGAGGGUGAUCGGCCACACUGGAACUGAGACACGGUCCAGACUCCUACGGGAGGCAGCAGUAGGGAAUCUUCGGCAAUGGGCGAAAGCCUGACGGAGCAACGCCGCGUGAGUGAUGAAGGUCUUCGGAUCGUAAAACUCUGUUAUUAGGGAAGAACAAAUGUGUAAGUAACUAUGCACGUCUUGACGGUACCUAAUCAGAAAGCCACGGCUAACUACGUG
rnacentral:rRNA from 1 species